AUAAAUCCACAACGACAUUCUAAGGUUGGUCUAAUCUAUACACGAACACGCGUGCAUCAUUUGCACAUGCAUGCAUAUAUUUACCUGUCUUACAUAAAGGAACAGAGAGUCUGUGAUACAGUAUAUUUAAUCACUCAUGAUCAUCUUCAAGCUCUUAUGGACACACCCUCAACCCCCCCCACCCUCCUCUAUCCAACCAAAUGCUUCCAAUUUUCAUGACACACCAUCAGUCCCACAUAGUAAACUCCAGACCUCACACAAGCCAUUCAUGAAGCAGAUUCCAUGAAGAUACAACACAACCAAUGUCAAUACACACAUCCAACAUCACAGUCCACAAUGUAUACACCUUCAGAUGGUGACUUCUGAGAAGAAAUGGAUUCCCACAUGUCCCCCAGAGUGCCAAUAAAUAUGGAUACCUUUGUCUGUCAAUGGAAAAAUAUCUCAAUACUAUGUUUUGCAUGCUGCCUUCUAGACAUGGAAGUAUACAAAAGCACGCAGUGUAUACUCCAAUUAUAAAAUCAUAGAAUACAAUAACAGCACAUACUCAAUACAUCCACUCUAAUCAAGUGUGGACACAGCUUAAGUAAUUUUUAAGAAAUUUAUGUUUUAUAUUGCCUGUAUUUUCAUGCUCUUAUAUUAACUACUUAGCUAAUGUGAUAACUCACAAUUAUAUUUGCCUGUUUAAAUAUAAUGAACAGUUUUUAUAAUGUUAGUUUCUACAGUUAACUGCAAGACCACAACUUCUAAUUUUUAAUUUGUUAUUCUCAACUUAAUUUUUGUAAUACAUAAUUCUAGACAAUGACAAAUGACAUGUAACUGUGCUGCAGAAUAAGAAAUACAUCCUUGAGUGCCUGAUGAUGAUACUGGGUGACUGAAAUAUGUUGCCCAGAAUUUAAUUCUACAUUGUUAAUAAUACAAAUAUAUUGUGUGUGACAGAA